rnacentral:lncRNA from 1 species
CUAUUCCCAACAGUCAGGAUAUUUUCACUUGUUCACUUCUUUGUUUACUAGAAAUAAUCCUACUGGCAAAAUGCUGUUUCUAUGCUGAGCUGAGGUCUGUAAAAUCUUGCAUUACUUUAGAAGAAAGACAUUACACUCCUCAUUUUCUCAAUUUGCUUUAAUAAGGGGGGGGGGAGAUUCAUUGAAAUAACCUCCAAUAUGGGUAUUUAUUCUCUGUGAAGACGUAUGGAAUGACAUUAUCUUAAAUCAGAGUAAAAAGUAGUUCUGACUAUUCUGAAUGUUUAUAAUCAGUUUAAAAUGAGAUAGUUACAUUUAAUAUGCCCUAUUUGUAUUCAAAUAACAUGAUAUAUGAAAUUCUACCAUAGAAAAUUUUACUAGGAAAAAAAACAAUAUUUUAUAAUGUUUGUUUACAGUGGCAAAUUAUUAAGAAGCAACACUUUUCUAAGGUGACAUGAGGACACUGCAAUACACAUUUGUGUAAAUAUCAUACGUUUCUUUUGUUAUCUUCUGAAAUUCUUUUAAGAACGAUAUUGAUGUUAUAGCAAAGAGAUACCAAAAUUGAUAAAGUGAGGCUGCAGUUUGGAUCUUGCAAUAAUAAAAUUGCCCUGCAAUUUUCUGUCAUAAUGUGGUGGGCUCUUUCAAUGUCCCAGCCACUCCAGAAGAGAUCUGGAAAGAGACAGCGAUUCCUACAAACAAUUCCUACAGGCAAUUUAGCAAAUUUAAAGAGAAGUGCUGAAUAUUAUUUAGAAGCCUGAAAGAGACAAUCUAUGAAUUUAUUUCCAAAAACAAACUUAAACACCUGCUCUAUAUAUCACUAACCAUUAACAAUAAAAAGUUUUGAUUUUCAGAUAAAUUUCUGACCACUACUUACCAUUUCAGAGAGUGCCCUUGCCUAGCUUACCAUACAACAGGCCCUCAAUUAUGGCACUCACUCAGUGGAAAGUGUAAAUGACUGAGCUGUGUUCCUUUCAUUAGUCUAAAUAUUCUGAAACCAACUCUAUAUUUUUACUUACCACAAAGUUGAUUCAUAAUUCAGAAAGUCAAAAGGUCUGGAUUAUAAUAUUUAAUGUAUCAAAAUAGUUAUUUUAAUAGAUGUUCCUUCACCUAUGGAAAUAUAACAAUUACAUUCUCAAAAUCUUUGUUUCACUAAUAUUGCUGGAAAUGAGAAUAAUUUUUUUUUGAAGUAAAGCAUUGCUGACUUAUAGCAAGCUUAUUUUUCAUUAUUCUUUUUGCCCCUGCUAAUCAAAAAACAAAUAAUUUUACUUCGUUCAUUUGCUCUUAUAAUAGAUAUACUCUUUGCUUUUAAAAUCUGAAUGGUUAUACAAGUAAAUUAUCAUAUAACCUAAAGUUUGCCUAUAAAACAUAUUAAUACACAUAUUUUCAUGAAAAAAGUACAUUUGAUCAUGUCAAAAUAUACUCAUUUCCUUAAAAUUCUUAAAGUUUAGCAAAACACAAAAGUCACUUGGUUUUUAUGCUUUCAAUACCAGGAUUAUAUAAAUUCAACUAUAAAAAAAAAAGUAAUGUAUUUCUGUUUAAAUCUAAAAUAAAUUAAGGGACUAAGGUUUUAUAAAUGAAGCAAACCUACACCAAACCUAGAAAAAUUGGAUUGAUAAUUGUAACCAAAUGAUUAUCUGAUAUAAAAUUUUUAAUUUUAGUGACAUUUAAUCUUAGGUCACAUAACAGAUAGUAUUCAAAACUCAAGUUCAUAUGAAGGUAUGGCUAAAGAGAUUGUUCUGAGUGAAAGAAUCCACUUUAAGUAACAAUUAUCAAGCUCCUCUGUGAGUAUCUUUUUAAAUAGCAAACUGCUACAGAAACUUCACUAUUUUCUGGAAUAUAGCAUUCUCUAGAGAGUACAAGCAUACAAGAAGCAUAACUUUAAGUUUCUAUAACUUAAUAUUUUUAUAUAGAUAUUUUCCAUCAUGUCAGAGCCACACUGGCUUAAGUCAAUACUCCAUGGAUCUUAGAGUCAUACAAAUCUUGGAGUUUGUUGGGGAGACAAAUAAUCCUAGGUUAUUGUCAUCUACUCACCAUGAUGUAUAUCUCCUCAUGAGUAAGCAGUAGAUAUAGUGGGUAAGAGUGAAGGCGAGUGGCUUAACCUCUUCAUACUUCAGGUUCCCUCUUAGGGAAAAUGGAAAUAAUAAACUGUAGCCUACAUAAUACUAUUAUCGUAAAGUAUCUGUGAGAUAACACACAGAAAAUGCCUAGAAUACUUAGCCUUCUGUCUGUAAACAAUACACAUUAGCUAUUAAUAGCUAUUAUUUAAUUCUAUAUUAAAUAUUCAAUCUCCACAAGUUGCUGACAGGCCCCUUUUCCUAAUUUCACACUGUUCUAAUUCAUUUUCCUGUCCAACCCACUUAUGGAGAUCCCCGCAUUCACAAAAGUCGUUUCUCUUAGCUAUGUCAGAUCUUUCUUUCACAUACAGAAAACAUUUGAAAUUCUAAGGCUGCCUCAGGCUGACCUCCUUAGAGAACCAAGUUUCCAUCUCUACACUAUUAUCUAUUACCAAAUUACAUGUGGUAAAGAAAAAAUACUGAGACCAGAUCCAUUAUGGUAGUUUGGUUAGUGUGAAGAAGAAAAUCAAGGCAAAUGCCCCUCUUCUAAACACACACACACACACACACACACACACACACACACACCACUAAGUGCUCCUCCCUUCAUAGACUCCCACUCUGUUCUCCAACAGGCAAUGGAAAUUUCAUUUGAUCUGCAAGAGACGGAAUGAAGAAGGAAUUUUCUCUGAAAGAAUAUUGCAUUUUUUUCCAAAUUUAUUAUUUAUGCCAUGAACUUUAUACCCAGAGUUCUUGUGCUUAAAUACCUGAAGGUCAAAAAUACUAUGUUUUUACAUCUCGAAAGAGGCUUCAGAUGCUCAAAAUCUACCGUGAUGCUCAUAAUCCCACACUGGACAAAGGGGAAUGUACUUCCAGGUAGCAUAAAUUUCUAGCUAAUAUAUUAACAGAAGUUAAUAUACUAAAAAAUUAUCCUGCCAGAUACAAAAUGAAAGUAAUACUAAUGCUCUUUUAUUUGUAUUAAAGAAAAUACAUAGAAAUUAAGAUGAUAUACUUCAAUUCAAUACAAAUCUCCAAUCCAGAAUAUUUCUAACCAGUAAAUAAUUUUCACAAUUUAGGUAAGCCCAAAGAUUAUCCUAUAUUAAUAUUAUAUAAUAUUAUAUACUAUAAUGUUAAAAAUUUUCAAAACUUUCAAAGCUGUAAAUAUAUGAAAAAACAUGAUUCAAUUUAAAAAAAAAAGUAGUUUUGAAGAGAGGGAUUAAGAUGGCAGAGGAGUAGAACAUGGAGCUCAACUUCUUCCACAAACACAUCAAAAAAAUUUACAUGAAGAAUGCUUUGCACAGCAUAUCUAUUGAACACCAGCAAAAUACCUGAGUCUUCCAAAAAGGGCAAGAAAACCUCCACAUAACUGGGUAGAAUGAAAGGGGGAAAAAAGAAAGAGAAAAGAGAAAAGAAAAUCAGAAUGGAACCAGAUUCCUGAGAGAGAGCUGUGAAAGAAGAAAGGAGUCUGUACACUGGGAGGCCAUCUAAUUGGCUGUAACACCAGCCAGGACAGAGGGGGAGCCUCAGAGCUUCAGAAAAAAGCACAGCAGCAUCUCUGAGGAGGACAAAGAGAGAGAGCCACAUAAAUAGUCAGUGCACCACAACCUAGAGGUCCACCUAUUACCAUCCACCUCCUUGGGAAUGCACAUGUCCAUCUAUUGCCACUGCCAAGGGCCCUGCUCCCACUUCUCUGGGGAUCACUGCCACUGACAAAGGCCAAGCAAACAAGUGCUACCUGCAGGCACCAUGUAUCACCUCCAACUCCCUAGAAGCAUGUGCAGACCAUGCAUCUGCACAUCCCCAACUGGGGGGGAGGGGCGGGACGGGAAGGGCCUUCACACACUGAGGAAAGAGACAAAAAGCAUCCAAACCAAAAGAAGCCCUAACACCAAAAAAUAGUAAACCCAUGAAAGCAACCCGGGGUGCUUGUACAUAUAAAUAGCCCUACAAGACUACAGUAGAUAAUUGUUUCCUCUAAACUCACAGAAUAAGAAAAAUACAGGCAAAAUGAAGAAGCACAGGAAUGAAUCUCAGUUAAACAACAGAAGUAUCCCCUUCAAGGAGCAAACAAUGAAAAAGACUUCUGCAGUAUAACAGACACAGAGUUCAAAAAGGAGGUAAUGAAAAUAUGGAAGGAAGUAAGAACAUCUAUCAACGCUAAUGCAGAUUACUCUAAAAAGGAACUAGAAAAUAUAAGGAGGAGCCACGAAAAUUUAGAAAAUUCAUUUGCUGAGAUGAAAGUUGACAUAAAGGCAUUAAAUAGCAGAAUGAAUAAUGCAGAGGAACAAAUAAGUGACUUAGAAGAAAGAAUAAUGGAAAUGACCAAAUCAGAUCAGCAGACAGAAAAUGAAAAAAAAGAAAACAACAUAAGAGAUCUAUGGGAUAAUAUAAAGGGGCCAAUCUAUACAUAAAAGAGAUCCCAGAAGGAGGAGAAAAAGAAAGGGGGAUUGAAAACGUAUUUGAAAAAAUUAUGACUGAAAAUUUCCCAAAUCUAAGAAGGAAAUAGAUAUCCAGAUACAGGAAGCAUGUACAGUUUGCAACAUAAUGAUCCCAAACACACCCAGGCUUAUAAUCCCAAGAAAUUUAAUAAAAAUGGUGGAAGUUAAAGAUAAGGAGAAGAUCCUAAAAUCAUCAAAAGAAAACAAAGAAUAAAUUACAAGGAAACCCUCCCUAAGGCUGUCAGCUGAUUUCUCUACAAAAGUGUAAGAGGCCAGAAGGAAGUUGCAAGAUAUAGUCAAUAAGUUCUAAAGGGAAAAAUUUGAAACCUAUAAUAUUCUAACCAGCAAGAUCAUCGUUUAAAAUAGGAGAAAUAAAGAAUUUCUGUAGUUCCUGUUGUGAUUCAGCAGAAACAAAUCUGACUAGGAACCAUAAGGUUGCAGGUUUCAUCUCUGGCCUCACUCAGUGGGUUAAGGAUCUGAUGUUGCCAUGAGCUGUGGUGUAGGUCUCAGAUGUGGCUCGGAUCUGGUGUUGUGGCU